CCACACACAAACCUCAACUAAAAAGCCACGAACUUACACUAACCUAAUGCAUCAACAGUACAGGGUCCCAGCCAUAACACUAGCCACCAAACAUCUUUUUAACUUUGCCUGAUUUCUGUAGCAAAGAGACUAAACACAACCCACCUACUCUCUUCCAGCAGCCGCUUGUUUGUAGCGAGAUCUCAACCAGUCCAUCACCGAUUGAGGUGGGGGGGCACAUCUCAGGGAGGAACAUUUAUGAUCAUUACUUUAUCAUUUCCUUGAAGUAAUAAUCAUCAUAUUAGUCAUUUUGCACUGCAGACUCGGUAGUUCUUCUGCCUUCGCGUCUCGGUCGGAUUGCAUUUCCAUGAAGAAAUGAUCAUAAAUGUUCUUCCUUGAGCUGCGUCACCUUGAGUAGGUGAGUUGUGUGGUCGUUACUAAAGUUGGUAUAACUAGGGAAGCAACUAGGGUCGGCAACAUUCAUCUCUCGUGGGGGUGUUUAACUUAGUGUUACGGUGUGUUUGACUCUUAAUUAAUUUUAUGCCGGAAUAUCCCUUUAAUGUUCAGACUGAUAAACUUGAUUGUUUUGUGUUUGUUUGUUUUGCAAAUAUUCACUCAUUUUGAAUUUUAUGCUGCAACACGUUCCUGAAAAGUUUGAAAAGGGUUAAUGAAGAUUGAGGACUGCUCCAAAAACACCUGGUGGAUCAGUCCACAAGUGAACAAGUUCAUUGGAAACAGGUGAGUAUCUGGGAUUGUUUUUUGUUUUUCCUUUGUUUUCAUCAGCAGCAUAUCAAACAAGAGUCUCCAUCACUGUCCUUGCACAACAUGAAUAUCAGUCAUAAAAGUAACAAAACAAACUAUUUUUUAAGUAGUUACUGGUAUUGAAACAUCUCUUAUUUAUGCACACGGUUUUAAAAAUGACGUGCUCAACAUUUCCCCAACUACCACUUAAUUUCCCCAUCCUUUUCCUGCUCCCAUGAGGGUGAACCCUCCAGAUUACACUGACCUUUAACUUUCAAUCUACAUUCCCUUCAGAAUGAACUUUACAUUUUCAUCCUCCUCUGGUAUGAUGGGCUAACUAAUCAGUAUGUUAUUUGUUCUGUCAGAUACUUGGCAGCAGCAGCUCCCGGUCCAGAUGUUGGCCUCUGUAAGUGUGACUGUAUGCGACUGCGUGUGCAGUGUGUGGUAUGAAUGUGUGUGUCGGAGUGAGGAACACCAGCCUGCCAGCUCGGUUCUCAUUUGCAUCUGCUAAUGGCUCUAUGAUGCCAGUUUCUGAUCACAGCAACUACACAUUUAAAUUCCUGCUUCUUUGCCAGAUGCUCCCUCCCCUCUCUCGUUCUCUCUCUCUCUUUCUCUGUCCAGGGAUUCCUGCAUCCAUCCUGUAACGGCGUCCCUGUUCGUGCUCUGCAUCUGAACAUGGUGGAGGAGGUUAAACAGCAGACAUGGAGCUGUAUCUGAUCACAAUAAAGCUUUUCAACAUUACAGCCAUGAAGGAGUCAUUACCAAACAACUCGAGUUUAUCUGCAGCAUCCUCUCAGGCUUUCCAACACAUCGCUGCAGGUAUUUGCUCUCGUCCUGACACAGAAACACUCGAGCCAGAGAAACAUCAAAGAAUUGACAGUCAUACCAUACAGUUAUUUUUGGAUAAAGGGCUCUGCUCUUUUAGGGAGCCCUGGAGCAGCAUUUCCGUCUUAUGAACUUUCAUAAGGGACUGGGGACCUUUGGAUGAACUCAGGAUAUUUUCACUGUGGGUACCAGGAUUUCUACUGAGUCCCAGGGACAUAAUUCAACUCUGAAAAGAGAGAAUGGUGCUGUUUCCAAGUAAGCCUUCAGUGCUGAACACGCUGUAUUGAGAAAUCUCGGUAUUCAACAGAGUAAGAGAGCAGGAAGUAGAAGUCUGUGGGAGCUGAGCAGGUUCAGGGCUGCAUGUGUUUUAUCUAACUUUCUUUUUAACCUUGAUUUAGCCAGUUUAGCCACACGGAAAUCAGAGAUCUCUUUUUCCCAGUCUGGCAGCAACACACUGUUUCAACAGUCAAACAGGAAACACCAAGGGUAAGGUGAGUCAAAGGAAACAACAACAGAACAAACACAUAUACCCUGGAUCCCAAGGCCCUGCAGUCUCCCCAGUCCACAGCCAAACCUGAAGCACUUAGACCCGCCAUGCUAAGUGGCGAUCCAAAGCUCUUAACCCUGCUCAGAGGGGAGAGGAUUAAGGAAAGAGGAAAGAAAUCAGAGGAGCAAUGAGAGAGAAUACAGAGAGCUGUCUUCCUGGAUAAAGAGAUCUCUGAUUUCAGUGUGGCUCUUGUUCUGAAAUAGAACUAAAAAGUCUUUUAAAAAGUCAGCUAAAACAUUUCCAUUCAGAAAACAUGGUCUCCAAACCGAUUUAAAUACAUUUAGGCAAAUAAAGUUAAAAAUCAGUCUGCAGAUUUUUCCAGGCAAGAGGGAACGACGUAUUCAACAUAAUUUAUCCUGAGACACUUGACAAAAUAGACCAUAGCUUGUUUGCAAAGACCUGAAGAGAUAUGGGAUCUUCAACCACAGGUGAAACACUUUGCAGAGUGGGUUAAUUUUUUUUUUUAAGUUUUCUGUUUCUUUUUUUCAUCUCAUGUCAGCUUUUUUUUUUUUUUAUAUCAAAACCAAGGGAGUUUUUUUUUUUUCUGAAUAAAAAAUAAAAAAGUAAAAGAAGACAGAUGAGGCUUAUCUAGUAAAAUGUAUUAAUUAGAGCAGAGAGGAAGGACCCUGCAGCUUAUGCUAGCUGUAGUGACUAAAAAUGUUGAAACAACAACGAAAAUGAAGUAUUUCAUGACCUGAUGUAAGCAACACAGCAUAAAAAUAAAAUGUACAGUGAGAUGUUUUGAUGGUUCCAUAACCCUACAUGUCUGGAAACACUGGUAAAUGGUUGUAUCAACAGGGGCCUCACUCUUCCUCUCUUCUCUCAACGGUCAGAGCAGAAUCAAAUUUAGAAUAAAAUCAGUUUUCUGGGAAAAAUUACAUUUUAUUUGUUGGGUUGGUUAGAGUGGUAUACCGUAGGUUAUUGGAUAUCGAUGGCUGCUCAGAAUUCAUUUCUGAGAGUGUUUUGACUAGAAUGUACCAACUAAAUUUGCCAUCAGAAAAAACAGUCUUCUCUAAUAUGAGACAGAGUGUACUUAGCAGUUUUUGGGUCAACAAGGUUAAAUUUACUCAUAACUGCACCCUCCUCAAUAUAAG